rnacentral:rRNA from 1 species
ACGCUCGACACCUACGGGACGCAGCAGUCGGGAAUAUUGCGCAAUGGAGGAAACUCUGACGCAGUGACGCCGCGUAUAGGAAGAAGGUUUUCGGAUUGUAAACUAUUGUCGUUAGGGAAGAGAAAGGACAGUACCUAAGGAGGAAGCUCCGGCUAACUACGUGUCAGCAGCCGCGGUAAUCUGAGCGGGCUGGCAAGGC